rnacentral:ncRNA from 1 species
UCAUGCAUGAGCCGGUGCCCGUUCACUUUUUCUUUGACCAUUGUCCAUGGGCUUUUAGUCUGUAGACAAUGGUGUCAAAGAAAAGGAGAGCGUGGCUGAGAUUAUACGGCGAAACUUGAUCUGGAUAAUACCAGCGAAAGGAUCAUGCCCUCCUCCCAC